GAUGAACGCUGGCGGCGUGCUUAAUACAUGCAAGUCGAGCGAACGGACGAGAAGCUUGCUUCUCUGAUGUUAGCGGCGGACGGGUGAGUAACACGUGGAUAACCUACCUAUAAGACUGGGAUAACUUCGGGAAACCGGAGCUAAUACCGGAUAAUAUUUUGAACCGCAUGGUUCAAAAGUGAAAGGCGGUCUUGCUGUCACUUAUAGAUGGAUCCGCGCUGCAUUAGCUAGUUGGUAAGGUAACGGCUUACCAAGGCAACGAUGCAUAGCCGACCUGAGAGGGUGAUCGGCCACACUGGAACUGAGACACGGUCCAGACUCCUACGGGAGGCAGCAGUAGGGAAUCUUCCGCAAUGGGCGAAAGCCUGACGGAGCAACGCCGCGUGAGUGAUGAAGGUCUUCGGAUCGUAAAACUCUGUUAUUAGGGAAGAACAUAUGUGUAAGUAACUGUGCACAUCUUGACGGUACCUAAUCAGAAAGCCACGGCUAACUACGUG
rnacentral:rRNA from 1 species